UGAGUGCAAUUUCUCGAUCAGUUGAGUGCCUGUGAUGAGUAUUAAAACAAUAAGCUAUUGAAGUUUUCUAUAAAAGUUACUACAUCCUACAAGAUGUUACAGAUUAAAGAACUUGACUGGAAACAGAUGUAAGAAAAGCUAUAAGUGGAAAACAUACAUCCAAUGAUCUGACCGGAAAAUAAUUAACGUUAAAAAAAUAAAACAAAAUAAAAUAAAUAAAUAAGAAAAUUGAUAACAUCAACAUGAAAAGAAUUUCUUAUUCUAAAAUGGCAUACAACCACCAGAAGUAUUGCCAGAAGACUAGAAAUCUGAACAAUAAUAAUCAUUUCAGAGGUAUUAAAUCGUAUUACUUCACUGGACUUGGUUAUAAGCACUCCAGAUGAGUAAAAGCUAAGCACCUCACGAAGUUCAAUUUCAAUCUGGGUAACAUCAACGAUCACCCAAAUUUGGCAGAAAACUUCCGCACAAGAUCCCAAAUCAUUCUGAAGUAACUUUCAAUUUUGAUAAAGUUUUAGGAGAAAAAUAAAGUUCUAAAAAAAAUCUGAUUACAUGCAGAUUUCAGCACUAUUAGAACAAAAUGAAGGUGGCUUACUAAAUUUGGGGUAAUGGAAGCCCGUGAGGAAAAAUAGAUGUUGAUGAAAGUUAUGAAAUUAAGGUAGAAAUAUGUCCAAAAUUUUAUAUUUAAUUAAAAUUUAAAACUCCUGUAAAGUUGAAAGGGAAAUUCUACUGAAUGGCAAUUACACCGGCUAUGCUUUAUGUAAGUGACAACUGGAGUGUAAAUUUGUAACUGACAUAAGAAUGCUAUUAUGCAAAGGUAGAGAGAAUACAAGAAAGAACCAUAUUGUUAAAUACUUAUUCAACGCAAGGAACAAGUGGCACCUAUUUAGAAUGCUUAAUAAAUGGUGGUAAUAGGUGAGAGGAUGACAAAAA